CCUACGGGUGGCAGCAGUAGGGAAUAUUGCUCAAUGGGGGAAACCCUGAAGCAGCAACGCCGCGUGGAGGAUGAAGGUUUUCGGAUUGUAAACUCCUUUUGUUAGAGAAGAUAAUGACGGUAUCUAACGAAUAAGCACCGGCUAACUCCGUGCCAGCAGCCGCGGUAAUACGGAGGGUGCACGCGUUACUCGGAAUCACUGGGCGUAAAGGGCGCGUAGGCGGGAUAGCAAGUCAGAUGUGAAAUCCUAUGGCUUAACCAUAGAACUGCAGUUGAAACUGGUAUUCUAGAGUAUGGGAGAGGUAGGUGGAAUUCUUGGUGUAGGGGUAAAAUCCGUAGAGAUCAAGAAGAAUACUCAUUGCGAAGGCGACCUGCUAGAACAUAACUGACGCUGAUGCGCGAAAGCGUGGGGAGCAAACAGGAUUAGAUACCCGGGUAGUC
rnacentral:rRNA from 1 species